AGAGUUUGAUCAUGGCUCAGAAGCGAACGCUGGCGGCGUGCUUAACACAUGCAAGUCGAGUGCGCGCCUGUGCAAUACAGGUGGCGCACGGCGCACGGGUGCGUAACACGUGGGUAAUCUGCCCUUCGAUGGGGAAUAACUCCGGGAAACCGAAGCUAAUUCCGCAUAACAUUCCUUGAACUUCGGUUUGGGGACUCAAAGCCGUAAGGCGUCGGAGGAGGAACCCGCGCACGAUUAGCUAGUUGGUAGGGUAACGGCCUACCAAGGCUUUGAUCGUUAGCUGGUCUGAGAGGAUGGCCAGCCACACUGGAACUGAGACACGGUCCAGACUCCUACGGGAGGCAGCAGUGGGGAAUCUUGCACAAUGGGCGAAAGCCUGAUGCAGCGACGCCGCGUGGGGGAUGAAGCUUUUCGGAGUGUAAACCCCUUUCGACCCGGACGAAUGUCCCGCAAGGGAACUGACGGUACGGGUAUAAGAAGCCCCGGCUAACUACGUGCCAGCAGCCGCGGUAAGACGUGGGGGGCCAGCGUUGCUCGGAAUUACUGGGUGUAAAGGGUUCGUAGGCGGUGUGGCAAGUCGGGAGUGAAAUCUCUGGGCUUAACCCAGAGUCUGCUUCCGAAACUGCUAUGCUUGAGUGUGGGAGAGGCGCGUGGAAUUGCAGGUGUAGCGGUGAAAUGCGUAGAUAUCUGCAGGAACACCCGUGGCGAAAGCGGCGCGCUGGACCACUACUGACGCUGAGGAACGAAAGCUAGGGGAGCAAACAGGAUUAGAUACCCUAGUAGUCC
rnacentral:rRNA from 1 species